GUUUCUGCACCACACAGUAAUGUUCCAUAUACUUGCUCUUUUGUUUAUGAGCACACCCACCACUAGAAUCCAGACUCCUUAAGAACUGAUAUUUUUGUCUCUUGGGGUGCCGUUUCCUCAGCAACUAGAACUGCUGUAGGUACUCAGAAUUUUUGAGUGAAUUGGUGAAAUAAUUCUCGCUAAAGCUGUUUCAUGGCUCAGGAGGAAAAGGGAAGGUAUAGGCGAUUGAGACUGGUCACAUUAUGAGCAUGUAAAAAUAUAGCAUAAUGAAUCCCAUUGUGCAGUUCUAAUGCACUAAUACAAAACAAUUUCCCAGAGCUCUGUCUUCAGUUGGUAGGACUGUUCCACACCCUUAACACUUAGUAAAGAUGACAAAUAGAUUCUGGGUUCCAGGAGUGAAUCAGGGCUUUUGCAUGGUUACAGACAUUUUAUAUUUUAUGUGAGUAGGUAAAUGAAAACUUUUCUUUAAGUCGGUAAUAAGUUACAUGAAACAGAAUACUGAGAGACUGCGCAUUAAAGCAUUUGUACGUUGCUUCAGACAAACUUUGCUUUCGUCCCUGCUUUGCAUAAGUUUUCAUAGCAGCAUGGUUGGGACAAACUGUGGUCUUUCACCUUUGAGUCCAGCUCUUUCAGAGGUCAUUGUCUGUCUUAAGGAGGAAUAGUUUGGAAAAUUUCUUGUGACAUUUAGGAAAACAGUAACCAAAAGUAAUAACAGAGACUUAAAGGUUAUCAAGAUAGACUACUAUAAUUUAUAUUUUCUAGCAUUCCAUAGAAAUGCUCCUCUAAAGGAUUUACUUUUGUAACUCUCCUUGUGACAUAGCAGUAUGCUAUGAAGCAGUAAGCACAGAAAUGUGUACAUGAGAGUAUGUCUGGGAAGAGCAUUGAAAACAGUGUUUUUUCAUAGUUUUCACUAGUUUUGAAGGUUUUAUUUCUGGUAGGGUAUUUAAAAAUGGAGUCUUGACAGUAAAAAGUGGGAGAAAUAAUUGGAGAAGGUAAGACUCCUGAGUAUAGAAAUGCAGACAGAUAAGAAAGGCUUCAGGAUGGAAAAAGAAGUGACAAACUUAGCCAGAUUCAGCGAUUAUUUUAUUUCUUUCUAUUUCAAAGACUUCAAGCUAUAGUAAAUUCUGUUAUAGUUUAUAUAGAACCAUUUUUUUUUAAAUUUUUUUGCAGUACUAAGUAUUGAAACCUAGGGAUGCUCCUACCCAUUGAGAUACAUUCUCAGCCCUUGGUUUACUUUGAGAGAGGGUCUUGUUAAGUUGCCUGGGCUGUCCUUAAACUUGUUAUCCUCCUGCCUCAGCCUCCUGAGUAACUGGUAUUAUAGCUGUGCGCCACCACACCAAGCUAGAGAAAGCCAUCUUUUGUGUUUUUCUGG
rnacentral:lncRNA from 1 species